CCCUUAGAUGUUCGGGGCCGCACGCGCGCUACACUGAAGGACUCAGCGUGUCUCUCCCCCUAUCCCGAAAGGGAUGGGCAACCCGUUGAACCUCCUUCGUGCUAGGGAUUGGGGUUUGCAAUUAUCCCCCAUGAACGAGGAAUUCCCAGUAAGCGCAAGUCAUCAGCUUGCGUUGAUUACGUCCCUGCCCUUUGUACACACCGCCCGUCGCUCCUACCGAUUGAAUGGUCCGGUGAAGCGUUCGGACCGUGGCCUUUGGACGGUUCGCCGUCUGUUGGCUGCGGGAAGUUCGUUAAACCUUAUCAUUUAGAGGAAGGAGAAGUCGUAACA
rnacentral:rRNA from 1 species